AUUAUCGGGGACAAGAAAUAUAAUUUAAAAAAAAAAAAAAUCCGCAAAAUACCCCCUUUGGGCUUAAUGGCCUACCCUAGGGCCUGAUCUUUGUCACCUGCUGGCUGGGGCAAAUGACUUUGAUAGCCCAGGUGAAUCAGAAGCGUGCGUCACCAGUGGACACUGCACCUAUGUAAAUCGUCCAACAGGGUGUAAAGACCUGAGAGCUCGAGCGGCUCUAAGAAAAAAAAAAAAAAAACCCUUCUAUGUAUGCCCUAGGGACGGGAAAACUAGGUCGCAGGCACAAAAAUGUGGGCAACAUAAAAGUUACUAUUGUAAGUCUUGGGGAUAUAAAACUACAGGGGAUGCAUAGUAGAAGCCAAGCUCAUCUUAGGAUUUAAUUCAAAAA
rnacentral:lncRNA from 1 species